AUUGAACGCUGGCGGCAGGCCUAACACAUGCAAGUCGAACGAGUGGCGGACGGGUGAGUAAUGUCUGGGAAACUGCCCGAUGGAGGGGGAUAACUACUGGAAACGGUAGCUAAUACCGCAUACCAUCGGAUGUGCCCAAGUGGGAUUAGCUAGUAGGUGGGGUAACGGCUCACCUAGGCGACGCUCCCUAGCUGGUCUGAGAGGAUGACCAGCCACACCGGAACUGAGACACGGCCCGGACUCCUACGGGAGGCAGCAGUGGGGAAUAUUGCGCAAUGGGCGCAAGCCUGAUGCAGCCAUGCCGCGUGUAUGAAGAAGGCCUUCGGGUUGUAUAGUACUUUCAGCGAGGAGGCGUUACUCGCAGAAGAAGCACCGGCUAACUCCGUGCCAGCAGCCGCGGUAAUAC
rnacentral:rRNA from 1 species